rnacentral:rRNA from 1 species
CACGUAGGCACCAAGCGUUGUCCGGAUUUAUUGGGCGUAAAGAGCUCGUAGGCGGUUCGGUAAGUCGGGUGUGAAAACUUUGGGCUCAACCCAAAGCGUGCACUCGAUACUGCCAUGACUAGAGUUCGGUAGGGGAGUGGGGAAUUCCUAGUGUAGCGGUGAAAUGCGCAGAUAUUAGGAGGAACACCGGUGGCGAAGGCGCCACUCUGGGCCGUGACGUGACGCUGAGGAGCGAAAGCGUGGGUAGCAAACGAG